rnacentral:rRNA from 1 species
AGCAGCCGCGGUAACUCCAGCUCCAAUAGCGUAUAUUAAAGUUGUUGCAGUUAAAAAGCUCGUAGUUGAAUUUCGGGAUUAAUAUGUUGGUCGUGCCUUGGUACGUACUGGCAUUAUUGAUUCCUACCUUCUGAAGAACCUCGAUGUCAUUAAUUUGGUGUCUUGGGGAAUCAGGACCGUUACUUUGAAAAAUUAGAGUGUUUAAAGCAGGCUCGCGCUUGAAUACAUUAGCAUGGAAUAAUGAAAUAGGACGUUUGAUUCUAUUUUGUUGGUUUCUAGGAUCGACGUAAUGAUUAAUAGGGAUAGUUGGGGGCAUUAGUAUUCAAUUGUCAGAGGUGAAAUUCUUGGAUUUAUUGAAGACUGACUACUGCGAAAGCAUUUGCCAAGGAUGUUUUCAUUAAUCAAGAACGAAAGUUAGGGGAUCGAAGACGAUCAGAUACCGUCGUAGUC